GUCGGAAGUCCCUGUCUCCUGGUCUGUAUAUCCUGGCUCCAGGACCGCCUCGAACCAGGGAUGGAGCAGGAUCUCCGGGGCUGUGGUGCCCCAGUCCCGGUGGUGGCAAACCGGGAGCUUCCCAGCAGCAGCUACCGCUCACGUGCCGCAGGGAUGUGCUAACUGCAGCCUGUCCUCGGCGUGACCUCCCGCUGCAAUGCAAAAUACCCAUCGGUUCUGUAAACGGAAAAUGUGACUCAAUGCGAACCGUGGGCCCGGGAUUGGCCGCGGGAGCACUGAAACUGCACCUGUGCUGGUGAGCCCCAGCGCCCGCCUGCCAUUGCUUAACCCUCUUCUUGCCAAACGCAAUGCACAUGACACUCGCCUGUGCAACACCAGUUUCCAAACGAGCCAGGCUGUGUGCAAUGUAACAUUUCAACAAAUGUUUCAUCUCACUAGGGGCGGGAAAAGCUGCAAUAGUUUCCUUCAAAGGAAUUACUUUCUUUGCAUGUCAACAUACGGCUGUUUCUGUUUAA